UACAGAGGGUGCAAGCGUUGUUCGGAAUUACUGGGCGUAAAGCGAGCGUAGUCGGUAUUGAGAGUCAUAGGUGAAAUCCCAGGGCUUAACCCUGGAACUGCCCGUGAGACCUCAGUACUAGAGUGUGAGAGGGGAUAGUGGAAUACCAAGUGUAGCGGUGAAAUGCGUAGAGAUUUGGUGGAACACCGGUGGCGAAGGCGGCUAUCUGGCUCACAACUGACGAUCAGGCUCGAAAGCGUGGGGAGCAAACAGG
rnacentral:rRNA from 1 species